rnacentral:rRNA from 1 species
GGCAAGCUAAUACCGCAUGUGCUGUACGGUUUAAUCUAUACGGUAAAGCUUUUGCGCUUAGAGAAGGGCUGCGCCUGAUUAGCUAGUUGGUGUAGGUAACGGCCCACCAAGGCAAUGAUCAGUAGCUGGUCUAAGAGGACGGCCAGCCAGACAGGGACUGAGACACGGCCCUGACUCCUACGGGAGGCAGCAGCAAGGAAUUUUGCGCAAUGGGCGAAAGCCUGACGCAGCGACGCCGCGUGGGGGAUGAAGGCUUUCGAGUUGUAAACCCCUUUUCCUGAGGAAGAAUAAUGACGGUACUCAGGGAAUAAGUCUUGGCUAACUACGUGCCAGCAGCCGCGGUAAUACGUAGGAGGCAAACGUUAUUCGGAUUUAUUGGGCGUAAAGCGGGUGUAGACGGCUUCUUAAGUCGGUUGUCAAAUCUCCUAACUUAAUUGGGAGGAGCCAACCGAUACUGAGAAGCUCGAGGACAGCAGAAGGAAAUGGAAUUCCCGGUGUAGCGGUGAUAUGCGUAGAUAUCGGGAGGAACACCAGUGGCGAAGGCGGUUUCCUAGGUUGUUCCUGACGUUGAUGCCCAAAAGCGUGGGGAGCGAAACGGAUUAGAUACCCGUGUAGUCCACGCCCUAAACUUUGGAUACUAGGUAUGGUGAGUAUCGACCCUCUUCGUGCCGAAGCUAACGCUUUAAGUAUCCCGCCCGGGGACUACGGCCGCAAGGCUAAAACUCAAAGGAAUUGACGGGGGCCCGCACAAGCAGCGGAGCGUGUGGUUUAAUUCGAUGCAACGCGAAGAACCUUACCAAGGCUUGACAUACUAGAAGUAGAAUCUUGAAAGUGUGACGAUCUGUAUCCAAUCAGAAGCUAGAACAGGUGCUGCAUGGCUGUCGUCAGCUCGCGCCGUGAGGUGUUAGGUUAAGUCCUGCAACGAGCGCAACCCUCAUUGCUAGUUAAAUUUUCUCUAGCGAUACUGCCCUUAUAAGUGGAGGAAGGUGGGGAUGACGUCAAGUCAGCAUGGCCUUUAUGCCUUGGGCUACACACACGCUACAAUGGAUGAUACAGCAGGUUGCGAAAGAGCGAUCUGGAGCUAAUCCUUAAAAUCAUCCUCAGUUCAGAUUGUAGGCUGAAACUGUCUACAUGAAGUCGGAGUUGCUAGUAAAUGCAGGUCAGCACACUGCAUUGAAUACGUUCUCGGGCCUUGUACACACCGCCCGUCACGUCAUGGAAGUCGGUAACACCUGAAGUCAAUGGGCUAACCUCCGGGAGGCAGUUGCCGAGGGUGGGACCGAUGACUGGGACGAAGUCGUAACAAGGUA